AUUCAAGCUUAUGGUUAAAUCAUUGCUGAUUGCCAUGAAAAUUGUACUCUGUACUUCUUGCAUGUAUAAGUCAGGUAUGAAAGGCUGAUCACCUUCAUUACCAAUUGAUUCAGAAAUGUUUGUUCAUGUUUAAAACUUGUUCAGUCAAAAGUUUGUUCCUGCUAGUUCUCAAUUAUAUUGAUGAAUUAUAGCCAGCUUAUUAUUCAUACUCUUCAAUCAUGAUAUAUUCCUAUAUUGUUGUAUUUUAA
rnacentral:lncRNA from 1 species